CCUACGGGUGGCUGCAGUGAGGAAUAUUGGUCAAUGGACGAGAGUCUGAACCAGCCAAGUCGCGUGAAGGAUGACUGCCCUAUGGGUUGUAAACUUUUUUUAUAUGGGAAUAAAACAGGGUAUGCAUACCCUCUUGUAUGUACCAUAUGAAUAAGGAUCGGCUAACUCCGUGCCAGCAGCCGCGGUAAUACGGAGGUUCCGAGCGUUAUCCGGAUUUAUUGGGUUUAAAGGGAGCGUAGGUGGAUGGUUAAGUCAGAUGUGAAAGUUUGCGGCUCAACCGUAAAAUUGCAGUUGAAACUGGCAGGCUAGAGUACAGUAGAGGUGGGCAGAAUUCGUGGUGUAGCGGUGAAAUGCGUAGAUAUCACGAAGAACUCCGAUGGCGAAGGCAGCUCACUGGACUACAACUGACACUGAUGCUCGAAAGUGUGGGUAUCAAACAGGAUUAGAUACCCCGGUAGUC
rnacentral:rRNA from 1 species